rnacentral:rRNA from 1 species
UACGUAGGGGGCAAGCGUUGUCCGGAAUUAUUGGGCGUAAAGCGCGCGCAGGCGGCCUUUUAAGUCUGAUGUGAAAGCCCACGGCUCAACCGUGGAAGGUCAUUGGAAACUGAAAGGCUUGAGUACAGAAGAGGAAAGCGGAAUUCCACGUGUAGCGGUGAAAUGCGUAGAGAUGUGGAGGAACACCGGUGGCGAAGGCGGCUUUCUGGUCUGUAACUGACGCUGAGGCGCGAAAGCGUGGGGAGCAAACAGG